GGCGACAUAGCCAAGUGGCUAAGGCACGAGCCUGCAAAGCUCUGAUCCCCGGUUCGAGUCCGGGUGUCGCCUCCA
rnacentral:tRNA from 2 species